UUUUAGGUACCUGCAAUAGAGCCUGUGCUGUGCUACGGCUGUGGCCGGCGUGGGUCCUUUUUGCCCAGGUUUCUUGGCCACGGAGCAUGAGGUGAUACGUGCCUGAGAUCCUACUUAGCACCAUGAUGAGUUCUGGCACUGGGCUUUGGAGUAAAGUCCAUCCCUAGAAAAAGGAGAAGUGCUUGCAGCUACCCCAGUAAAGAAUGGCCGGGUCACAAUCCAGCAUGAAGACAAGCCUGUACUCCAGCUCUUAGGAAGCAUCCUCACCUCACAGUGGAGAAGACAAAAAGCUCAGAGAAAGCGAGAAAUCAAUGUCAGGGAUGGGAGUAAAAGCAACAGAGGCUCAUGCUUGUACAAAACCAGUCCAGCACAAGAAAGGUGUCAGCAGCUGUGGACAUAGCAAGAGGAGCAAGAACAGUCGGAAAACCUGCUGGCCAAGUGGCAGCCCAGCUGUACCUCCUAGCUUACAUCCUUUUUGGGUAAUGAAAGAAGCUGCAGUUCCUUAAGGGAAGGACAGAGGAACAUCCUCUUCAGACUGACACAAAAAGGGUUAAAGAUUGCUGAUGGAAUUCCUGUGCCACGUGCAUCAUUGAGGAGCAGCACAGAGGUGGAAAAGGGCUCUACAAUAAGGGAUCUCUGGCCUUCACUGGCCACCAAAGAGCCAUUGUGGAGCUCUGGAGAUACCAGCACCAUCGUCAGUGCAAGGGCCAGCUUGAGGAAGAAGGAAUUGUGACUCUUCCUGCCUGCAAAAGUAUGCCUGCUUGGAAAGUCCAUCUACAAAUCCUAAAGAGCCUGUUUAUGUCACCUGAGCUUAGGAGCGGUGUGGAGCUACUGAAUCCAACAAAGCAUCAAGAGAUGCUGUCACAACCCUACAUACAGGGAAGUGCUGGGAAAACCCCAUGAGUGGAGGAGCAGGUAUAUUCUUCCAGGACCAGAAGGGAAGCGCACAUUUCAUCUGAGCUGGCACAGAGCUGGAGAAAGCUGCUUCACUGCUGCAACACUGGGCUGCCCACUGUUUGGUCCUGCUACCUCCCAUUGCACCCAUUGCUUAAUGAGACAACUGCAUGAUGAGCUGCUACCAGCACCUUCAAAGCACUUCCUCAUGGAAUUAAUCAGUCCCUAAGAUGACAACAAGGCACUUCACCACUGCAGCUCUGGCAUCCCCCAACGCUAUUGGAACGGUGCUGGCAGCACCAGCUCUGACCCGGACACCUGGCCUCGCCUGGGGAAUGGAGUCUCCUCCCUCUGCCCCAUGCCAGAGGAUGUGUCCCGUUGCAGCCAGACUCUGCCCAGAGCGUGGCACCGUGCUGCUCAGCCAGCAAGUCUCAUGCAGAUCACCAAACUGAAGGAGCAGUCUUCACCCAGCCAAACCAUUCCCACCCAGGAGCUGUGCAUCACAACAGCCUCAGCAAGAGCACGGCAGUGGCAACUGAAAAAUGGAAGCAGAGAAGCUCUCACCGUGGCAGAGACAGCACAAAUUAUAUGUUCUGCCUCUGCAAGUGAGGAAACAUGCUCCUCCAGGACUCUAAUCCCCAUCGCUAAUACUAUUAAAUAUUUAUGUACCACCACAACUUUGCGUGACACUUCACAGAGAUAAAAGUGCUAUCUCUGUGCUGAAGAUCUUAGAGAUGACGUCAGACAAAUGAAGAAAGCAAGGUUUACAGAAAGGAGACAUGAUGAGGAUUAAGAAACCAAACCAAAGCAGGUGACCCAGAAGCAUUUUUAAAUUGCAAGAGAGAGUGGGACGCAGGCAGAGGAAAUUUUGGGGUUCAUUUUGCUUUUCAAGCUUUUUAACUUCUAAAAGUAGUUCCAGCCUUAUCAGUGAUGAGAGAUUACCCAGUUUCCAAGAAGAAAUCAAGUUAUAUAUGGAACUGAGAGACCAUGCAGAGAGAGGCAGCACUCACAGCAUCGCCUGAGACAACAAUGGAUGGAAUAUAUCGGGCAGAGGUGCAGCCCAGGAAGCCUGGGAAUCACCAGCUUGCAUCAAUGCUUGCAUCUCCUGGUGGCCUGCAGACAGAGAAAGGCUCCAAGCAGGAAGGUCAUGAACAGAAAAGCAUCUUUGAAGGCAAAGAAGGCUUCACCCCUCUUCAAAUC